rnacentral:rRNA from 1 species
CAUAAUAACUUCUCGAAUCGCAUGGCCUUGUUGGUUGGCGAUGCUUCAUUCAAAUAUCUGCCCUAUCAACUUUCGAUGGUAGGAUAGAGGCUACCAUGGUUUCAACGGGUAACGGGGAAUAAGGGUUCGAUUCCGGAGAGGGAGCCUGAGAAACGGCUACCACAUCCAAGGAAGGCAGCAGGCGCGCAAAAUUACCCAAUCCCGACACGGGGAGGUAGUGACAAUAAAUAACGAUGUAGGGCCCUUUUGGGUCCUACAAUCGGAAUGAGUACAAUUUAAAUCCCUUAACGAGGAACAAUUGGAGGGCAAGUCUGGUGCCAGCAGCCGCGGUAAUUCCAGCUCCAAUAGCGUAUAUUAAAGUUGUUGCAGUUAAAAAGCUCGUAGUUGAACUUCAGACCUGGCUGGGAUGGGUCUUGCCUAAACGGUAUGUUACUGGUCCGGCUGGGCCUUACCUCUUGGUGAGCCGGAUGCCCUUCAUGGGUGGUGUCGGGGGAACCAGGACUUUUACCUUGAGAAAA